UAGACUAGGAUUAGAUACCCUAUUAUUAUAUAUGUUAAGUUUUGCUAGGGUAUUAUUAGAUAUGUUCUUUAAACCUAAAAAACUUGGCGGUGUUUUAGUCUAUUUAGAGGAAUUUGUACCUUUAUCGAUAAUCCUCGUUUUAUCUUGCUUUAUUUUGUUUAUCAGUAUGUAUACCGCCGUUAUAAGUUUAUUUUAUUAGAAUUAAAAUUUACUUUAUAUUUAAUUAUAUAUUAUUUCAGG
rnacentral:rRNA from 1 species